CAGCCGCCGCGGUAAUUCCGGCGGCCCGAGUGGUGGCCGCUAUUAUUGGGCUUAAAGCGUCCGUAGCCGGGUUGGGAAGUCCUCCGGGAAAUCUGGCCGCUUAACGGUCAGAAUGCCGGAGGAUACUCCCAGCCUAGGGAGCGGGAGAGGCCGAGGGUAUUCCCGGAGUAGGGGUGAAAUCCUAUAAUCCCGGGAGGACCACCUGUGGCGAAGGCGCUCGGCUGGAACGCGUCCGACGGUGAGGGACGAAGGCCAGGGGAGCAAACCGGAUUAGAUACCCGGGUAGUCCUGGCUGUAAACGAUGCGGACUUUGUGUCGGACAAGCUAUGAGCUUGUCCGGUGCCGGAGGGAAACCGUUAAGUCCGCCGCCUGGGGAGUACGGCCGCAAGGCUGAAACUUAAAGGAAUUGGCGGG
rnacentral:rRNA from 1 species